rnacentral:tRNA from 1 species
CGGAGCGUAGCGCAGCCUGGUAGCGCACUUGCUUCGGGAGCAAGGGGUCGCGAGUUCAAAUCUCGCCGCUCCGACCA